rnacentral:rRNA from 1 species
GAUGAACGCUGGCGGCGUGCCUAAUACAUGCAAGUCGAGCGAACAGACGAGGAGCUUGCUCCUUUGACGUUAGCGGCGGACGGGUGAGUAACACGUAGGUAACCUACCUAUAAGACUGGGAUAACUUCGGGAAACCGGAGCUAAUACCGGAUAAUAUUUCGAACCGCAUGGUUCGAUAGUGAAAGAUGGCUUUGCUAUCACUUAUAGAUGGACCUGCGCCGUAUUAGCUAGUUGGUAAGGUAACGGCUUACCAAGGCAACGAUACGUAGCCGACCUGAGAGGGUGAUCGGCCACACUGGAACUGAGACACGGUCCAGACUCCUACGGGAGGCAGCAGUAGGGAAUCUUCCGCAAUGGGCGAAAGCCUGACGGAGCAACGCCGCGUGAGUGAUGAAGGUCUUCGGGUCGUAAAACUCUGUUAUUAGGGAAGAACAAACGUGUAAGUAACUGUGCACGUCUUGACGGUACCUAAUCAGAAAGCCACGGCUAACUACGUG